AUGGAGCCGACGGCGAGCGCUCCAAUGCAACACCAAAAGCUUCCCUCGAGAGCCGCCAGCGAUGUUGCAUCGAGCCGCUGCGGUGCUGCACUGAGCCGUCGUCGAAGCUCCAAUGCAGCCGCGGCGGAGCUCCAACUACCCCGGCGGCGCUCCAUUGCAGCCCCGGCCACGCUUCAUUGCAGCGCCGGCGAUGACAGCGGAUGCUGCGAUGCAGCACGCGGCGGCCAUGGCGGAAGUUGCGAUGCAGCGCACGACGAAGACGGCGCAGGCUGCUUCACCGGAGCUGCAGUGGAGCAGCGGUGCAGCGACGCGAGGCGACGGCGGUUUGCAGCAGCGGCGAAGAGCAUGGCGUGUAGGAGCAGGCAUAGCAGAAACGCGAGUGGUGGCGGGCCGGCACUGGUGCCGAUGGCACUGCCAUGGCUGUGUUGUGCCGCAGGAAGAAGAAAAACGAGGAGAAGAAACAAGCAGCUCAACGCGUGCAGGAAAGAGAUAAGAGAAUGA
rnacentral:rRNA from 1 species